AUCCAGCUGACAAGUCUCAAAUAUGACGAAAUUCAAGUUCUGCAU
rnacentral:hammerhead_ribozyme from 1 species